GGAGGGGUGGUGAAAUGGCAUACACGCUAGGUUUAGGACCUAGUGCCCCUUAAAGGCGUGCAGGUUCAACUCCUGUCCCCGGCA
rfam:Microgenomates bacterium GW2011_GWC1_41_20 TT51_C0020, whole genome shotgun sequence.